AGCGGAACGGCGGAGACCGGUGCGAAAGCGCCGUGUGAGGGCGACUGGGACUGCUGAUGGGGCCGGGGCCGGCAGCGGAAGGGCUGGUGGCCUGAAGGCCGGCAGUAUUCGCUGCGACUCAGUCUCUCACAGUUUGCUCGCCGGCUGCCAACCACCCCGCUGACCUGACUGCUGAUGGGGGCUCCGGCGAAGGCGCGGUCUAUCCCGCCACCGCCCUCGGAAGGGCCUCAGGCAAGCAGCAGCCUCCACCAGCUGAAAGCCCCAGGAAGGGGGCUGGCCAGCACCACCUAGAGCCUGGGCCUUGGCUCCAGGGAGCUUAUGGAUUGGAGCAUCCCUAAUCCAUGACUGUGCAACCAAGAGCUCUGACUGAGUGACUCAAACCAGGCAGUUUAUUUUCCAGUUGCUGAGGUCAGAAAUCCACAAGCGGUAUAGGUAUAUGGUCCUGGGUAGGGUCUCACCUGAGAUGGUUGUCAGCCGGGCUGCAUCUUCUGGAACCUGGCCUGGGGCCACAGGACUUCCUCCCAAGAGGGUGCACGUUCAUGGCUGGCAGUCAGUGCAAACUGCCUCAGUUCUCCUCCACGUGGCCUACAAUUCCUGAGGGCCUCCCCAGCAGGUCCAACUUUAUAUGGUUACUAGAGAGAGAAAUGGAGAGAGAGAUUAAAGAGACAGAGAGCCAGUGAGCACAAAGUGUGUAUGAGACGGAAGCUGCAGACCUGCCAUCACCUCAUUUUGGAAUUCUUGGACAUUUCCUUAUUGCUGCCGUAGUCCAUUAGUCACUCCCAGGAAAGGGAUUCCACAAAGCCAUGAAAAUGGGAGGUCAUCUUAGAGGUGCCCACCACUGACCUUGGGGCAGGUCAACAUUGUGUUUGCAUUCCUCCUGGGCCCCACCCCUGCACUGAAGAGGAGGCUCUCCAUCAUAGGUUCUGAUCGCUCACUGAUGAUCUCUCUCUCAUCUUGGAAUGUGUUUCCACGUUGCCUUCAUCCACGGAGGGGAGGAUGGUCCUACUUUGUGCUGCAUCUCCAUCCCUAGGAGCUGAGCGGCCAUUGAAUGCUGAGAUGCUUCCCCUAUGGAUAUCCUGCUCAUGGAAUACUUCUGGUCAACUCUGAACAGGGGUUAAGGGCACCUGUGUAAAGGAACAUAGGCUGUUAUGGAGGGAGCCCAGAGAACAGAUUCAAUCAGAGAGGGUAGUCAUGCUUGGAAGGGAAACCAGGUCCUGUGAGCAGAUCUUUCAGAGUCUCCAGAAUGAGACCAGCAGUGAGAGAUGCAUUUCACCUAGUAACUACAUCCUCAACAUGCACACAUACCCAUAUACCUGAAAAAGAAGGUUUUGCAAAAAUUUACCUACCCUCCAUUGUGUAUUCUCUAACAGUGGGUAGCUAGUUUUCAACUCUUGUUAUAAUCCACCAAAUAGAUUCCAUCCCCUAAAAGUGGAAUGGAAAACACUGAUUUGUGAAUUUCCCACGCAGGGUCCUAAAUAAUUCCUGCCAUGCCCAACUAUCUUGAGCCUUGCGGGAUGGAAUCUGAAACAUCGAGAAUAUCAUGAUCUUGAA